rnacentral:rRNA from 1 species
UCUGUUUGAUCCUGGCUCAGGACGAACGCUGGCGGCGUGCUUAACACAUGCAAGUCGAACGGACAGACAGAGAGCUUGCUCUCUUGAAGUUAGUGGCGAACGGGUGAGUAACGCGUAAUCAACCUGCCCUUCAGAGGGGGAUAACAACGGGAAACCGUUGCUAAUACCGCGUACGAUUCAUAAGCGGCAUCGCUUGUGAAUGAAAGGUGGCCUCUAUGUAUAAGCUAUCGCUGAAGGAGGGGAUUGCGUCUGAUUAGCUAGUUGGAGGGGUAACGGCCCACCAAGGCAAUGAUCAGUAGCCGGUCUGAGAGGAUGAACGGCCACAUUGGGACUGAGACACGGCCCAAACUCCUACGGGAGGCAGCAGUGGGGAAUCUUGCACAAUGGAGGAAACUCUGAUGCAGCGAUGCCGCGUGAGUGAAGAAGGCCUUUGGGUUGUAAAGCUCUUUCGUCGGGGAAGAAAAUGACUGUACCCGAAUAAGAAGGUCCGGCUAACUUCGUGCCAGCAGCCGCGGUAAUACGAAGGGACCUAGCGUAGUUCGGAAUUACUGGGCUUAAAGAGUUCGUAGGUGGUUGAAAAAGUUGGUGGUGAAAUCCCAGAGCUUAACUCUGGAACUGCCAUCAAAACUUUUCAGCUAGAGUAUGAUAGAGGAAAGCAGAAUUUCUAGUGUAGAGGUGAAAUUCGUAGAUAUUAGAAAGAAUACCAAUUGCGAAGGCAGCUUUCUGGAUCAUUACUGACACUGAGGAACGAAAGCAUGGGUAGCGAAGAGGAUUAGAUACCCUCGUAGUCCAUGCCGUAAACGAUGUGUGUUAGACGUUGGAAAUUUAUUUUCAGUGUCGCAGGGAAACCGAUAAACACACCGCCUGGGGAGUACGACCGCAAGGUUAAAACUCAAAUGAAUUGACGGGGACCCGCACAAGUAGUGGAGCAUGUGGUUUAAUUCGAAGAUACGCGCAGAACCUUACCAACACUUGACAUGUUCGUCGCGACUCUAAGAGAUUAGAGUUUUCGGUUCGGCCGGACGAAACACAGGUGCUGCAUGGCUGUCGUCAGCUCGUGUCGUGAGAUGUUGGGUUAAGUCCCGCAACGAGCGCAACCCUCACUUUUAGUUGCCAUCAUUAAGUUGGGCACUCUGAAAGAACUGCCAGUGAUAAGCUGGAGGAAGGUGGGGAUGACGUCAAGUCCUCAUGGCCCUUACGUGUUGGGCUACACACGUGCUACAAUGGCAUCUACAACAGGAAGCAAAACGGCAACGUUAAGCAAAUCCCGAAAAGAUGCCUCAGUUCGGAUUGCACUCUGCAACUCGAGUGCAUGAAGCUGGAAUUACUAGUAAUCGUGGAUCAGCGUGCCACGGUGAAUGCGUUCCCGGGUCUUGUACACACCGCCCGUCACACCAUGGGAGUUGGUUCUACCUUAAGGCAAGGUUUCAAACCCUUGACCACGGUAUAGUCAGCGACUGGGGUGAAGUCGUAACAAGGUAGCCGUCCCUAUAGUGAGUCGU